CACCAUGGUGAUUCUUGAAUUCA
rnacentral:miRNA from 1 species